ACUCCUACGGGAGGCAGCAGUGGGGAAUAUUGCACAAUGGGCGCAAGCCUGAUGCAGCAACGCCGUGUGAGUGAAGAAGGUUUUCGGAUCGUAAAACUCUGUCCUAAGGGAAGAAAAAAAUGACGGUACCUUAGGAGGAAGACCCGGCUAACUACGUGCCAGCAGCCGCGGUAAUACGUAGGGGGCAAGCGUUAUCCGGAAUCACUGGGGCGUAAAGGGUGCGUAGGCGGCUUAGCAAGCCAGGGGUGAAAGGCAUUGGCUCAACCAAUGUAAGCCCUUUGGAACUGUUAAGCUUGAGUGCAGGAGAGGUAAAGUGGAAUUCCUAGUGUAGAGGUGAAAAUUCGUAGAUAUUAGGAGGAACACCAGUGGCGAAGGCGACUUACCUGGACUGUAACUGACGCUGAUGCACGAAAGCGUGGGUAGCGAACAGGAUUAGAUACCCUGGUAGGUCA
rnacentral:rRNA from 1 species